rnacentral:rRNA from 1 species
GCUGGCGGCAUGCUUAACACAUGCAAGUCGAACGUGAAAGCACUUCGGUGUGAGUAGAGUGGCGGACGGGUGAGUAACGCGUGGGAAUCUACCCAGUAGUGGGGGACAACUACCGGAAACGGUAGCUAAUACCGCAUACGCCCUAUGGGGGAAAGGCUUCGGCCGCUAUUGGAUGAGCCCGCGUCAGAUUAGCUAGUUGGUAGGGUAAAGGCCUACCAAGGCAACGAUCUGUAGCUGGUCUGAGAGGACGAACAGCCACACUGGGACUGAGACACGGCCCAGACUCCUACGGGAGGCAGCAGUGGGGAAUAUUGGACAAUGGGCGAAAGCCUGAUCCAGCAAUGCCGCGUGUGUGAAGAAGGCCUGCGGGUUGUAAAGCACUUUCAGUUGGGAAGAUGAUGACGUUACCAACAGAAGAAGCACCGGCUAAAUCCGUGCCAGCAGCCGCGGUAAUACGGAUGGUGCGAGCGUUAAUCGGAAUUACUGGGCGUAAAGCGCGCGUAGGCGGCUAAGUCAGUCAGAAGUGAAAGCCCCGGGCUCAACCUGGGAAUUGCUUUUGAUACUGCUUGGCUAGAGUUUGGUAGAGGAUAGUGGAAUUCCAGGUGUAGCGGUGAAAUGCGUAGAUAUCUGGAGGAACAUCAGUGGCGAAGGC